rnacentral:sRNA from 1 species
GGAAGGAUCAUUACCGAAUUGUCAACAUGAAGUUGUUGCUGGCCCUCAAAUGGGGGCAUGUGCACACUCUGUUUACACAUCCACUCACACCUGUGCACUCUCUGUAGUACUGUGGUCUGGGGGUUCUGUCCUCCUACUGUGGUUCUGCGUAUUUAUACACACACACUGUAAUAAAGUUUCAUGGAAUGUAUGCCGCGUUUAACGCAAUGAAAUACAACUUUCAGCAACGGAUCUCUUGGCUCUCGCAUCGAUGAAGAACGCAGCGAAAUGCGAUAAGUAAUGUGAAUUGCAGAAUUCAGUGAAUCAUCGAAUCUUUGAACGCACCUUGCGCCCUUUGGCUAUUCCGAAGGGCAUGCCUGUUUGAGUAUCAUGAACACCUCAACUCUCAUGGCUUGCCACGAUGAGCUUGGACUUGGGGGGUUUUGCUGGCCUACAGUCAGCUCCCCUCAAAUGCAUUAGCUUUCCAGCAUUUGGUGGCAUCACAGGUGUGAUAAACAUCUACACGUGUGGUUCCCCACCAUGUAACCUUCAGUGAUGGAGGUUCACUGGAGCUCACAAAUGUCUUUCCUCAGUGAAGACAGUUCUUUGAUUGUUUGAUCUCAAAUCAGGUAGGACUACCCGCUGAACUUAAGCAUAUCAAUAAGCGGAGGAA